rnacentral:rRNA from 1 species
GACGAACGCUGGCGGCGUGCUUAACACAUGCAAGUCGAACGGAAAGGCCCUGCUUUUGUGGGGUGCUCGAGUGGCGAACGGGUGAGUAACACGUGAGUAACCUGCCCUUGACUUUGGGAUAACUUCAGGAAACUGGGGCUAAUACCGGAUAGGAGCUCCUGCUGCAUGGUGGGGGUUGGAAAGUUUCGGCGGUUGGGGAUGGACUCGCGGCUUAUCAGCUUGUUGGUGGGGUAGUGGCUUACCAAGGCUUUGACGGGUAGCCGGCCUGAGAGGGUGACCGGCCACAUUGGGACUGAGAUACGGCCCAGACUCCUACGGGAGGCAGCAGUGGGGAAUAUUGCACAAUGGGCGGAAGCCUGAUGCAGCAACGCCGCGUGCGGGAUGACGGCCUUCGGGUUGUAAACCGCUUUCGCCUGUGACGAAGCGUGAGUGACGGUAAUGGGUAAAGAAGCACCGGCUAACUACGUGCCAGCAGCCGCGGUGAUACGUUAGGGUGCGAGCGUUGUCCGGAUUUUAUUGGGCGUAAAGGGCUCGUAAGGGGUUGAUCGCGUCGGAAGUGUAAUCUUGGGGCUUAACCCUGAGCGUGCUUUCGAUACGGGUUGACUUGAGGAAGGUAGGGGGAGAAUGGAAUUCCUGGUGGAGCGGUGGAAUGCGCAGAUAUCAGGAGGAACACCAGUGGCGAAGGCGGUUCUCUGGGCCUUUCCUGACGCUGAGGAGCGAAAGCGUGGGGAGCGAACAGGCUUAGAUACCCUGGUAGUCCACGCUGUAAACGGUGGGUACUAGGUGUGGGGUCCAUUCCACGGGUUCCGUGCCGUAGCUAACGCUUUAAGUACCCCGCCUGGGGAGUACGGCCGCAAGGCUAAAACUCAAAGGAAUUGACGGGGCCCCGCACAAGCGGCGGAGCAUGCGGAUUAAUUCGAUGCAACGCGUAGAACCUUACCUGGGUUUGACAUGGAUCGGGAGUACUCAGAGAUGGGUGUGCCUCUUUUGGGGUCGGUUCACAGGUGGUGCAUGGCUGUCGUCAGCUCGUGUCGUGAGAUGUUGGGUUAAGUCCCGCAACGAGCGCAACCCUUGUUCACUGUUGCCAGCACGUUAUGGUGGGGACUCAGUGGAGACCGCCGGGGUCAACUCGGAGGAAGGUGGGGAUGACGUCAAGUCAUCAUGCCCCUUAUGUCCAGGGCUUCACGCAUGCUACAAUGGCUGGUACAGAGAGUGGCGAGCCUGUGAGGGUGAGCGAAUCUCGGAAAGCCGGUCUCAGUUCGGAUUGGGGUCUGCAACUCGACCUCAUGAAGUCGGAGUCGCUAGUAAUCGCAGAUCAGCAACGCUGCGGUGAAUACGUUCCCGGG